ensembl:snRNA U6 U6 spliceosomal RNA
GUGCUCACUUCAGCAGCACAUAUACUGAAAUUGGAAUGAUACAGCAAAGGUCAUUAACAUGGUGCCAGUGUGAGGAUCAUUAAGAAAUUUACGAAGUGUUCCAUAUUUUU